GGCUUUAUAGUUUAAUAUAAAAACUUUAAAUUGUUAAUUUAGAAUUGUCUGAAGACUGAAGCUU
rnacentral:tRNA from 1 species